rnacentral:rRNA from 1 species
AGCUCCAAAGGCAUAUAUUAAAGUUGUUGCGGUUAAAAAGCUCGUAGUCGAAUUUCUGCCAUGCUGGGUUGGUCCACCCUCUGGGUGUGAAUCUAACUUGCGCAUGGCAUCCUUGUGAAGAUCGUCACUGCACUUGAUUGUGUGGUACGCUACUCACAACUUUUACUUUGAGGAAAAUAGAAUGUUUCACGCAGGCGGAUGCUUUGAAUACACUAGCAUGGAAUAAUAAUAUUGGACGCAAGUCCCUUUUUGUUGGCAAGUGGGACCUACGUAAUGAUGGAUAGGAAUGGUUGAGGGUACUCGUAUCCGUGCGUUAAAGGUGAAAUUUUUAGAUCGCACGGCGACAGACCUCGGCGAACGCAUUUACCAAAUACGUGUCCA